CCUGUAAAGACUUCAAAUAUGUUGCUGUAGUUUUCAGAAUGCUUCCAGAUAAUCAUAAAAAAGCAGAACAAUAACUAUGCUAAUAAAUAUGUUUAAGAAAAGAACAAAUGUAAUACUUUGUUAUAAAUAUUUAACAAAUACCUAAUCCCACAUCGGUAUUAAUAUAAUACACUGUGUUUUUUAACUUAACAAUCACCCCGAAAACAACUGGUGCUGAGUAGUAUUGCAGUGUACAUUAGUAUUGUAGUACUAUAGUGUACUGUUGUAGUACUGUACUAAAAUGUUGUAGUACUGUAAUACUGUACUGAAGUGUUGUAGUACUGUGGUGUUAUGAACCAUCCUUACAGAGGGACAACCUGGAAUACAAACAGCAACAAAACAACAUGCCAGUUAGUGUUUCAGAAUGUGUUCUAGGAUCAGGGUCAACUUGUGUUUCAGAAUGUGUUCUAGGGUCAGGGUCAACUUGUGUUUCAAAAUGUGUUCUAGGGUCAGGGUCAACUUGUGUUUCAGAAUGUGUUCUAGGGUCAGGGUCAACUUGUGUUUCAGAAUGUGUUCUAGGGUCAGAAUGUGUCCUAGGGUCAAGACUAACCUGUGUUUCAAGUUGUGUCCUAUAGGAUUAAUAAACCCUGCAUUAAAGUCUUUAAACCCCUGAGGGCUUUGAACACUUUGAGGGCUAGAAUAAUAUUUUUGUGACCAUCAUAUAGUCUGUAUAUUAUUCUGAUGGCCAUAUAGUCUGCAGCAUUCAAAAACACAAUGUGAGAUUAUUUUAGCCAGGCUAAUUUUAACCAGGCUUCUCUGUCAGGAUUGAAAUACAAUCAGAUAGUGCCGUCAGGCUGAAGAUGUCCUCUCCCAGACUGGUGUAACAUCUGCUGUUGUGCAAAAUAAAUAAUUAAAAUAUUCUGCUAUUACAUAUCUUCAAUAUUCUCUUAUUCUAUCUCCAAUAUUUUGCUAUCAUACAUUACCUCCAAUAUAAUUAUUUUAUAUCUCCAAUAUUGUUAUCCAUUAACACCAAUAUUCUGCAAUAAGUGCACGAAAUUAAUACAUACAGC
ensembl:lncRNA